rnacentral:rRNA from 1 species
UACGUAGGGUGCAAGCGUUGUCCGGAAUUAUUGGGCGUAAAGAGCUCGUAGGCGGUCUGUUGCGUCGGCUGUGAAAACCCGGGGCUCAACUCCGGGCCUGCAGCCGAUACGGGCAGACUAGAGUUCGGUAGGGGAGACUGGAAUUCCUGGUGUAGCGGUGAAAUGCGCAGAUAUCAGGAAGAACACCAAUGGCGAAGGCAGCUCUCUGGGACGGUACUGACGCUGAGACGCGAAAGCGUGGGGGAGCAAAACAGG